UUCCUGUCAGGUAAUCAGCAAC
rnacentral:miRNA from 1 species